rnacentral:lncRNA from 1 species
GGACACUGCCCACAAGGGGCAUUGUGCCAUACAGUUGGGCAUAGCCCCGAAGUUAUGUUACUUUUCUGCCAGGAACUUGCCUACAAGGAGAACAUCAGAACAUUUCUGCCUCAGCAUAUAGGUUAUAUGGCUGUCAUGCCUUUCAUUACCACAGAGUAAGUUUUGACAUUUACCUAGGCACAGCUCACAGGCAUGAUAAUGACUCUCAUAUGUGGACCCCACAAGUAGGAGUAAUUUUGACUCUUGUAACUUGCUUUAGAAACAUAAGUGAUGUCUUAGAUCUCUUUCUGGCGAAAAGGUCACAGAAGAUUAUAACAGCCUCAGAUAAUUUGCAGCCCUUGGCUUGUACAGAGAGUGUCAGAACAGAACCCAGCAGAAAGGAGAAAUUGUGAGUCUCAUAUGUACACCCAGCUGACUGUAAGGACUGUCACCAUCUUACAUACAUGAAGCCAACUGUCACACAUGAAAAGAGGACAUGUGUGGUAUUGUAAAUCUCAUCUCGAAUAUUCUCUCAGUGUGACUGUGAUAUAAAUCUUUGCCAAGCAUCUGUGUGAUUUGACUCUCCAAACUGGUUCCAGCCCAUAUAUACGGGAUUGUGAUCUCUACCUGGGCCAACCUCUAGAUAAUGUGACUCUCCUGCCUGGGCCCUUCUCUCAGUAAGGGUUGUGACAUAUCACUGGAUCUAACACCCAAGUGAUGUUACAUUCUUGCCUGGACCAUGCACAGAGACAUCAUUGUGACAUAUCACUGUGUCCACCACUUAGGUGAUGUAACUCUCCUCUCUGGAAUGGACCCUGAAUACGGAGUGGUAGUGACAUCUUCCUAGGCCAGACACACAGGUGUUGGUACUCUUUUUCCAGGGCUAUGUUUCAAGGAGGGCAUUGUGACAUAUCUCUGGACCUAUCACCGAGGUGAUAUGAUUCAACGCUUGGGCCUCACCGACGUAGAACAUUGUGACAUAAAAGUUAAACCUGCACCAAAGGUGUUGUAACUCUUUCACCUUGGUCCUGUCCUAAGGGAGCCCUGCAACAUAUCUCAGGACCCAGCACUCAGGAACAUUGUGACAUCGUUGGACAUAGCAUCUAGGAAAUGUGACUCUUCUCUCCUGCCUAGGUCCUGCCCACUAAAGGAAUUGUGACAUACCACUGAGUGCAAAACCUAGGUAAUGCAACUCUCCUCUUUAUUCUGGAGUCUGCCAAAAGAGGGGAUUGUUACAUAUUGCUGAGCCCAGCAGCUAGGUGAUGUGACUCUCCUCUUCUUCUUCAGCCCUGUCUACAGUGGACAUGGUACCACAUGACUUGAGGCUGUAUCCAGGUGAUGUGACUCUUCUGACUUGGCCCUGCCUGCAAAGGAAAUUAUAAUAUAUCCUGAGCUCAGAAUCCAGG